rnacentral:rRNA from 1 species
UAGGUCGGGUGUGUAAGCGCAGUAAUGCGUUCAGCUAACCGAUACUAAUUGCCCGUAAGGCUUGAUCCUAUAACA